AAAGGAAUAGACGGGACCCCGCACAAGCGGUGGAUCAUGUUGUUUAAUUCGAAGAUACGCGAAAAACCUUACCAGGUCUUGACAUCCCCUGCAACGGUAUAGAGAUAUACUUGAGGUUAACAGGGAGACAGGUGGUGCAUGGUUGUCGUCAGCUCGUGUCGUGAGAUGUUGGGUUAAGUCCCGCAACGAGCGCAACCCUUGUUGCUAGUUACCAUCAUUAAGUUGGGUACUUUAGCGAGACUGCCAGUGACAAACUGGAGGAAGGUGGGGAUGACGUCAAAUCAUCAUGCCCCUUAUGACCUGGGCUACAAACGUGAUACAAUGGCUGGGAACAAAGAGCGGCGAGAGGGUGACCUUAAGCGAAACUCAAAAAAACAGUCUCAGUUCGGAUUGAAGUCUGCAACUCGACUUCAUGAAGCAGGAAUCGCUAGUAAUCGUGAAUCAGAACGUCACGGUGAAUACGUUCUCGGGGUUUGUACACACCGCCCGU
rnacentral:rRNA from 1 species